GAACCUGCCUUAGCCCUUAAGAUGAAUCCCCACUGAGAUGACUUCUGGAGCCAGUGAUGGAGAACAUCUUUCAAUACCAGAGAGGUUGUUUUUUCUCUCCUCCUGGUACUUUUCCCAUGAGAAGUUAAGUGCCGUUUGCAGUUUGAUGUUUCUGAGUAAGCCUGUCUCCCAUAUCCUGCACUGGGCUGCAUAUACUCACAGCACGUAAAAGUUGAACCAGUGUUUAUAGUAUCAAAGAAAUACCUAAAAGGAAGAAAGACAAACAGAACACCUGGACUCUUGAGGGCAUCUGGAAUUAAUACGGAAUUUGUUCCUGGUCAGUGCAUACAGUGUUGUUGCUGUGUUCUAGAAGGCAAGCCUGAGUGAACUGAAUUUUAGGAUAAAUGCAUGUACUGAUGAAUCAGAAAUAAGUGAAGAACUAGAAGAGAGAUGUAAUAGUAACAAGAUCACUGAGAGAAAGAACAAUGGGAAUUUUAUUGCGCAACUGUGUGAGCUACUUCAAAGGAUGCUAUAUUUCAAAGGUCAACUAAGAGGAUAAGUGGAGGAAUAGAAGAGAAACGAAGGCGACUGGGAGGCAUGUUGGAAGAGAGGUAUUUUGGGAAGUCACCGUGCUAGGUACUACUGAUUGGAGUGAAACAAAUGUGGCAUUUUUGCAGCACAUAUGACUACUUUGUAAUAUUUGAGGGCACAAACUUCAUUCAAGAGAGACUGAUUCAACAUGUCUCAUGUAACAGGCAUUGUGGUAAGUGCAAGAAAAAUAGAAGUAAAAGAGACUUUGUGGUUAUUUGGUCACAGAUGUUAUGAAGGAGAGGAAACAGUGCUUUGAGUAACAGCUGGAUAUGACAAGGUUUACGUGAUCAGGGAAAGCACUGAGUUGGUAUCUGAAAGAAGAUGAGUUCACUGGCUGAAUAGGGAGAGAAUUUCAGGGGGAGGGAGCAGCAAAAACUAAGGUCCAGUGUCAGGAAUGUGACUGGAACCAAAGAAGAUAGUUGAGGAAAUCCAGACAGGCCACUGUCACUGAGUGCAGGGAGCAGAGGAGAGCCGUGUGUCCCAGGCCACGCAGAGCCACCUCAGACAUAACAAGUAUUUUACUCUCCGUUUUGGGAGUUGCAAGAAGCAAUUAAAACCUAAGCAAACCAGGAGAAUCUCAUUCUGGCAGGAUCACUCAGUCUUUCAUAUUGAAAGGAGGCGAGAAGGGGGUAGAGUAAAUGGAAGAAGGGAUGCCUGGGUGGUUCAGUCGGUUAAGCAUCCCACUCUUGAUUUCAGCUCAGGUCAUGAUUUCAGGGUUCAUGGGAU